rnacentral:rRNA from 1 species
UACGGAGGCAGCAGUGGGAAUAUUGCACAAUGGGCGAAAGCCUGAUGCAGCUAUGCCGCGUGUAUGAAGAAGGCCUUAGGGUUGUAAAGUACUUUCAUCGGGGAGGAAAAACAAAACUAAUAAUUUUAUUUCUUGACGUUACCCGAAAAAGAAGCACCGGCUAACUCCGUGCCAGCAGCCGCGGUAAUACGGAGGGUGCUAGCGUUAAUCAGAAUUACUGGGCGUAAAGAGCACGUAGGUGGUUUUUUAAGUCAGAUGUGAAAUCCCUGGGCUUAACCUAGGAACUGCAUUUUGAAACUGAAAUACUAGAGUAUCGUAGAGGGAGGUAGAAUUCUAGGUGUAGCGGUGAAAUGCGUAGAUAUCUGGAGGAAUACCUGUGGCGAAAGCGGCCUCCUAAACGAAUACUGACACUGAGGUGCGAAAGCGUGGGGAGCAAACAGGAUUAGAUACC